rnacentral:rRNA from 1 species
ACGGGUGAGUAAUGUCUGGGGAUCUGCCCGAUAGAGGGGGAUAACCACUGGAAACGGUGGCUAAUACCGCAUAACGUCGCAAGACCAAAGAGGGGGACCUUCGGGCCUCUCACUAUCGGAUGAACCCAGAUGGGAUUAGCUAGUAGGCGGGGUAAUGGCCCACCUAGGCGACGAUCCCUAGCUGGUCUGAGAGGAUGACCAGCCACACUGGAACUGAGACACGGUCCAGACUCCUACGGGAGGCAGCAGUGGGGAAUAUUGCACAAUGGGCGCAAGCCUGAUGCAGCCAUGCCGCGUGUAUGAAGAAGGCCUUCGGGUUGUAAAGUACUUUCAGCGGGGAGGAAGGCGGUGAGGUUAAUAACCUUGCCGAUUGACGUUACCCGCAGAAGAAGCACCGGCUAACUCCGUGCCAGCAGCCGCGGUAAUACGGAGGGUGCAGGCGUUAAUCGGAAUUACUGGGCGUAAAGCGCACGCAGGCGGUCUGUUAAGUCAGAUGUGAAAUCCCCGGGCUUAACCUGGGAACUGCAUUUGAAACUGGCAGGCUUGAGUCUCGUAGAGGGGGGUAGAAUUCCAGGUGUAG